rnacentral:rRNA from 1 species
UGGCGGACGGGUGCGUAACGCGUAAGAAUCUACCUUUCGGAGGGGGAUAACAUCGGGAAACUGUUGCUAAUACCCCAUAAUGCUGAGGAGCUAAAGGUGAAAAUCGCCGAAAGAGGAGCUUGCGUCUGAUUAGCUAGUUGGUGGGGGUAAAAGCCUCCCAAGGCCACGAUCAGUAGCUGGUCUGAGAGGAUGAUCAGCCACACUGGGACUGAGACACGGCCCAGACUCCUACGGGAGGCAGCAGUGAGGAAUUUUCCGCAAUGGGCGAAAGCCUGACGGAGCAAUGCCGCGUGGAGGAAGAAGGCCUGUGGGUCGUAAACUCCUUUUUUCAGAGAAGAAGUACUGACGGUAUCUGAAGAAUAAGCUCCGGCUAACUCUGUGCCAGCAGCCGCGGUAAUACAGAGGGAGCGAGCGUUAUCCGGAAUGAUUGGGCGUAAAGCGUCUGUAGGUGGUUUAGAAAGUCUACUGUCAAAUACCAAGGCUCAACCUUGGGCAGGCAGUGGAGUAC